CCAAAAUGCAAAUUUGGAGACGUACCCUAACAGGUGCCGGGGCUUCUCCCGU
rnacentral:tRNA from 1 species